rnacentral:rRNA from 1 species
UACGGAGGGUGCAAGCGUUAAUCGGAAUUACUGGGCGUAAAGCGCACGCAGGUGGCUGAGUCAGUCGAUUGUGAAAGCCCUGGGCUUAACCUGGGAAUUGCAGUCGAUACUACUCGGCUUGAGUAUGGGAGAGGGCAGUGGAAUUCUCGGUGUAGCGGUGAAAUGCGUAGAUAUCGAGAGGAACAUCAGUGGCGAAGGCGGCUGCCUGGCCCAAUACUGACACUCAGGUGCGACAGCGUGGGGAGCAAACAGG